CUAGCUGUAAACGAUGUGAACUUGGCGUCGGCGGGUUUAAAUCCGUCGGUGCCGAAGCUAACGCGAUAAGUUCACCGCCUGGGGACUACGGCCGCAAGGUUAAAACUCAAAGGAAUUGACGGGACCCCGCACAAGCAGCGGAGCGUGUGGUUUAAUUCGAUGCUACACGAAGAACCUUACCAGGGUUUGACAUGCAAGUGGUAGGAAUCCGAAAGGUGACCGACCCUUCGGGGAGCUUGCACAGGUGC
rnacentral:rRNA from 1 species